UACGUAGGGUGCGAGCGUUGCCCGGAUUUAUUGGGCGUAAAGGGCGCGUAGGCGGCUCGGCACGUCCGUUGUGAAAUCGCCCGGCUCAACUGGGCGGGGUCAGCGGAUACGGUCGAGCUUGAGCAAGCUAGGGGGUAAUGGAAUUCCCGGUGUAGUGGUGGAAUGCGUAGAUAUCGGGAGGAACACCAGUGGCGAAGGCGGUUACCUGGGGCUUUGCUGACGCUGAUGCGCGAAAGCGUGGGGAGCGAGUCCGG
rnacentral:rRNA from 1 species